rnacentral:rRNA from 1 species
UGAGUAACCUGCCCUUAACUCUGGGAUAAGCCUGGGAAACUGGGUCUAAUACCGGAUAUGACUCCUCAUCGCAUGGUGGGGGGUGGAAAGCUUUUUGUGGUUUUGGAUGGACUCGCGGCCUAUCAGCUUGUUGGUGAGGUAAUGGCUCACCAAGGCGACGACGGGUAGCCGGCCUGAGAGGGUGACCGGCCACACUGGGACUGAGACACGGCCCAGACUCCUACGGGAGCAG